rnacentral:rRNA from 1 species
CGGCGGACGGGUGGAGUAAUGCCUAGGAAGUCUGCCUGGUAGUGGGGGACGAACGUUUCGAAAGGAACGCUAAUACCGCAUACGUCCUACGGAGAAAGCAGGGACCUUCGGGCCUUGCGCUAUCAGAUGAGCCUAGGUCGGAUUAGCUAGUUGGUGAGGUAAUGGCUCACCAAGGCGACGAUCCGUAACUGGUCUGAGAGGAUGAUCAGUCACACUGGAACUGAGACACGGCCCAGACUCCUACGGGAGGCAGCAGCC